CUGCAUUUCCCUUUUCACUUCUGCCGUAAAAUUUCCUCACAUACUGCAAUAACCUCUCUUCCCAUUUAAGUGCUUUCUUCCUCUUAACACCUAGCUACCACGUCUUGUGCAAAUGCACCUUCCUAGUCAGUUAACUUAUUCUUUUCAUUUAAUCAAGUCAUCUCUGUGCAAUAUGUGUGACCCCUCGCCCAGCGACACUCUUUCGUUCCCUUUCUUAAAUCACCUUCUGCUCUUCCAUACUUCUGUAGGACUGAACCACAGUAAUUCAAUUUCCUGUUCUCCUGUCACUUAUCUUAAGGCGGCUUUACGCCUGGCAAUUCCUAGUCGGCAAUACAGGCGCAGCUGCAUUUUUGGUCUGGGUCAUGGUCUGGGAGCCCUUCUUGCAGCAUGUUUUCUGCAGCUGAGCGCGUCCGUCUUGUAUUGCCGACUGGCGGCUGAGCACAACAUGUCGGCGCCAAUAAAACAAGAAAUGACAGAUACAGACAACAAGAUUUGGAGCCGGGAGGCCGAGGUGGUGUUACUAGAAGAAGUGAGGCAGCAUAGAUACUUGUGGGAGCCACAAGAUAAGCUGUAUGAGAAGCUGAGUCUACGCAAAACAACUUUUGAGAGAGUGGCAGCAACAUCCGAGAAAUGUUUAUCUCUUUGCGAGAUAUCGAAGGAGCAGUUUACGUCUUGAUGCUCCCGGCGGCUCCUCCCACGUGUGAACGUACUUGAUCCCGAGAGCACCCAGCUGGUCUAGCCGCUAGAUCGUCGCGGCUGUAUUGCCGGCCAGGAAUUGCCAGGUGUAAAGCCGCCUUUAGUCUGUGAUUCACUGAAGUUUAUAAGGAUGUGGAAAAGAUCGGCGUGGCUGGAGGGCAAAAAAGAAGAGGAGUGUGUGGUACCAUCUACCUGGAUAGUUGAAGGCAGCCAGAUUUUAUAUUGGCCAUCAAAAGUUGAUGCUCACAAUGCCCUAACUAGUCGAGAAGACCCAGACCCCAGAUCAUGGAGAAAAUUUCCAUUGAUAAAAGUAAAAAUAGCUUCUGACAGUUACGAGGAAUGUGAGACAUCAGCAGUAGACAGUGACAGAAGCAGCAGUGACCUGGAUGGGGAAGACGGUUUGGCCUUGCGUGGUAGGAAGAAACGUAUGAAGAAAGCUCUGCCAAAGGACUUUAUUAGUAGUCAGGAUUUGGAUUGUCCACACUUUGCCUCAGGGCCAUCUUUACAAGUAACAGUUGCUCCCCCCACCACAAAAGGUUGUCCCACACAACCAUCAACACAAAGGCUUGCCAAGUGCAGCAAGAAACAAAUCUGAAAAGACAUAAUUCUGACAGAUGUGAAAGUAACCGGCAAAAGAAGAGUAGUUACCAACAGCAAGAUGAAGGCAGUCAGCCUGAUACCCUACACAAAAGACAUGACAGUCGUGGCUGACGCAGCAGACAUGACAGUCAUGACCAACACAACAGACAUGACAGCAGUGACCGAUGCAGCAGGCAUGACAGUCAUGACCGACACAACAGACGUGACAGUCAUGACCGACAUGACAGCAGUGACCGACGCAGCAGGCAUUUCAGUCGUGACCGACACAACAGACAUGACAGUCGUGACCGACACAACAGACAUGACAACAGUGACCAACGCAGCAGACAUGGCAGCAGUGACCGACAAGGGAGCGAUUGGAUUCAGAAUCUGUCUAGUGAAGACCUUGAUGAUGUUCAACCCUUGAACCAGGAGAAAACCGUCAGAGUGGAUUUCCUAUGGACUGGGCAAAAUUCCAGAGGCGAGUCAUUCAUUUGUUGCUGGAUAUGAGGACCUCUUUGCAUACUCUUACUGGCUCUACACCAAGUGACAAUGAUAUAUCAAUUCAACAGCUGGACUCUAUGGAGGAUGCAGAGGCAUUUGAAAAUGAAUAGUGAACACCCUCUUUUAGCAAAGAAAUGACAGAAAAAUUUGUCCACAUAGGUGGAAUUUCAGUGAAGGAUAUGAUAUCAAAGGUAUUGUGCAGCAUUAUGUCGAAGGAGUUGAUGUGUAAGUACAACAUGUAUGGACAACGGGGCAAAGUAGCUUUGAAAAAUACAAGAUUGUGCAGUGUCAUCACAGACUGUUAUGAAGAAAUUCAGAGAUGUGAGUUUAACAGAAAUACAGAAGGUGAUUGCAACAAACUUGUGUAAUGCCCCAAAAAUGAAGUAAAGUGGAAACUAAAUCAUGUAGGGUAGCGGGCAAAUAGUGAUGCUGGGUCGGGAUACAAUAAAAUCAGGUAACCAGACAUUUUUUAGGGUUUUGGCCUAUAAAUUCUUGUAGAACUACACUAUUUGAAACCUGUCCUUACUGUGAAAACUGUUCUAUGAUCUGUCCAACAGUUUGGUUAGACUCAGGAAAACUGUUGAUACCCACAUUUUUAUUCCAGGUACGGUGUGCAAAAAAAUGUAGCAACAAGAUGUGUGUAUUCUCAAAGCAUGAACAGAAAUUUGUAUUAGUAAUUAAGAGCCACACCUGUAAUAUCAAGGCAUACUGUGUAGAACAGUCCUUGAGUUAGGGCUGAGGAGGUAAAACUAAAAUCUGAAAUCUGCCACAAAAUGGUUGUUGAUAAUGAAACUGGCUUUAUAAUGCUACCCAAGAGCUCAGCUGUAGUCAGAGUCAUGGUAAUUUUACUGCCUCCUGCCUCCUUUCACCCACUAUUGCUGUGACUUGACUGCAGGCCUGCCAUGAAUACCAGCAAAUUGUGAAAAUGAUGAUGUACAGUAUUGUAUUGUGGCUUCUCUUUCUCCUGAUGGAUAUUAAAUUUACAUAGUAUUAUA